rnacentral:tRNA from 1 species
GCCGCCGUAGCUCAGCCUGGCAGAGCGCCGGACUCAUACGGAGCCACGGGUCCGAAGUCGACUAAGCUCAGGGGAGAUCCGGUUGUCCCGGGUUCAAAUCCCGGCGGCGGCA